UCUUAGUCAAAGAAAUUGCCAACACGCAGACAGACGAUCACACUAUAAAAGCGAACACAGCUAGUCGUCCGUUCUUCCGUCUCUCGCAAACGGGUUUUCAGAUCUUGAAUCAGGUCAAGUCGAGAUUGCAACUCUGAUCUUUGCAAAGCUUCCUCGUGUUCUCGAUCCACCUUUAGUUGGCGUAAUCGGGUUUCCAUUCUUUCUCGCUCUUCCCGGAGUCGUGGCAGCCUUGUCCGACAUCCAUCCACCGUUUGUCCCUUUGCAAUCUCGUCCGCUAUGUACUGAGCAAAUCUGUUCACGGUAUCCACCGUUUCGUCUAUUGACUGAUUACAGGUCGAUAUAUCAGGUAUUUCUUCGUUGUUCUUCCAAAGUGGGAAGCGUUCUUUAAGCCAGUGAUAGAAUCUCUCUUGCAAUGGUUCAUCACUGGGUUGUUUUGCUAAUUGCAACACCACCUUAAUAUUGUUUUGCAUGUCUUGUAAGAUAUUAAUCAGAACCUGGCGAUUAUCCAUAUCGGCUUCUCUUGAUUAUAACAGCACUAAAUACAGAUAAGUAUAGUUGAUUUCAUGUUUCCAUGCCAACUAACCAACUCCUCGAGUUUGCGUGGUAAGCGUAGCGUAGGAACAUAAAGUCAUUCAUGUGACAAAGAAACAUUUUAAAAUUUUUGUUCCAUAUAAAACAUUACUUAGUACAUUAUGGCAAUUACGAGGAUCAGGAUAUUUAAUCGUGACACUUACCUUCAACAAAACUCGUUCGCUAAAAGCAUGCAUGAGCUAUAACAAUGUACAGUCGUACAAUUUGCAUCAGCCAUUCGACUAGAGGGGAUGAUUAGAAUUCAGUCAAAAACCACCGACGUAAAACCUCAUGUUCCACACGACGAAAUGUGCAUCGAAAGACGGAAGAACUGACCACAAAGUCGACAUGUAAAUAACAGCUGUGCACACAUGCAGCGUCCUUCUAAGGAAUUGUAAGCCUAGAAUCAGUCACACACAACGACCAAUUGUUUACUCGGAAUAUUCGAAAACAGAAUAAGAUAUAAAAUAUUACCUCAUACGUUGUCGGAUCACUAAUGAAAAAUAAUAACACGCACUUGUGUACGUUACCAAUGCAUUACAACUAGUUAUUGUAGACAGCUUGAUUGUGUUGUAUUCAACAGCAUCAAAUUGUUUGGCCACAGCACAGAAACUGCACUGCCUCAUCUGCUUGCAUGCACCAUUAUUAAAGUUUAGCAAUGCAAGCUUCAUACAAGCCAAUUGAAAUUUGAGCUUUUAGAAAACAGCAUACAAAAGCCAUCAGAUAUUUUUACAAACAAA